CGAUUUUCUCUUGCAGACAUACAAAGACAUUACGUAUUGAUUGAAUCACUAUGACCUUCCAUAGUGUUAGAGCGUGAAGAAAAGGAAGAUGAGACAGAGAAUGUACAUAAUCCCUCAUGAAUAGCAAUCUACAGACGUCAUUAAUAACUGGAGGCGCAAUGCUCCCAACGUGUAUUCCUUAGUUUCUAGAACAAUGUCUUUUUUGCUGGGAACUUUACCCUGAAGAAAUACAGAACUUUGUUAUAUCUAAAAUGAUGACACUGAGAAUGUAUAUAUUUUCUCUGGAAUAGCAGUCUCCAGGCGACAUUAACAACUGGAAGAGCAAUGAUCCAAAAAAUACAUUCUCUGGUUUCUAGAACAAUGUCUUUUUUCUAAGAACUUUAUCCUGAGGAAAUAUAUUUUUUUUGUUAUUCCUGAAAUGAACGAAUUAAGUAGUAUGGUUUUACUUGCCAAAACAUCCUAAGUUAGAAUAUGACAGCUUAUAUGCAUGUUUUUAUUUUCUUAUCUCUUUUGCAUGUCAUGAAAGAAAAUAAUAAGGCAGGAAAAUAUUUAAACUUUAACACAUGUUUAAUGAUAAUAAUUUAUUGUUGUUUAAACAUAUCAGUGUAUAGACAUCAUGUAUCAUCAUAUCUGCUUAAUGGAUUCGAUAGCAGGACUAUUGUGAACCUGAGAUAAACUGUUUUAUGUGUUUUCAUGAGCCAAGAGUAACUAGAAAGGAAAUCCAACCACAAACUUUAAACAAUAACGAUGUAUUCAAAGAAAUUCACAAAAGACAAUUAUAGUACAAAGCCUUAUUUUUAUAAUAUCUGAGCACUGAAUAUAAUUGAUUUGUAGUUUUAAGAGGACUAAUCCCAGACUGUACGACAACAAAAAAAACGAAAAAUGAAAGAUAUCAUGAACAUUUUGCUAUAUUUCUUCAGAAGGCUUUUAAACUUCGUUUCUGGCAACUUCCUUUUUAUGGAAAUCCAUGAGCAUUUGUUAUUUUCACUAUUUUUUUCAAAUCAAAAUUGAAAAAUUUGUCACGGGUCACUGAAGGUAAUCAGUCUUAAUUAUAAAGCUAAAUAUGUCGUAAAGAAUGAAUUCAUCUAUGUAAGUCUUUAUUGUCGAGGCAAUCCUGGGUCGAUUACGAACUCAGACAUGUUUUUCCUUGAUGUACCAUUUUUAAAUAGUUUAGAAACAAAACUUGAUGUUUUUAUGAUGUUCAUAAUAUGAGCAAACGUCCGUUUUUAAAGAAAGAUCAUAUUUAGGCAAAAUCUGGAGGUCUGUCCCUUUAACAAAGUUGCACAAUGUUAAUCCACCAAACAUUUGGUACUUCGUAUGAACACUUAUACCCAAAAAACACUGUCAAAAUAAUUCACACAAUUUGUUACAAAAAAAAAUCCUAAAAAUGAAUCUUAGUUCAUCCCAGUAUUCUGUUAAUAAUCCUUUUCAGAACUGUAACUUAACUAUAAUCAAAUCAGAAAAGCGAUCCCUUUUAUAUGAAAGUUAAGUAUUUUCAGAAUCGUUUGUUUACGACAUAAUUAUGUAAAUGUUCCUUACCUGGAAAAGAAGUGAAUGGAAGGUUCUAUGUAUGCUCUUAACAGUAGCGUACCUUCCAGAAUGUUCGGGGAAUUAAAUACUAAAAUAGAAUGGGGAAAUUCAUAGGUUAUUAAAGCAAUUACAUAUAUUUUUAAAAUAAACUUUUAAUGAUUUUAUAGAA